AGUGAACGCUGGCGGUAGGCCUAACACAUGCAAGUCGAACGGCAGCACAGUAAGAGCUUGCUCUUACGGGUGGCGAGUGGCGGACGGGUGAGGAAUACAUCGGAAUCUAUUUUUUCGUGGGGGAUAACGUAGGGAAACUUACGCUAAUACCGCAUACGACCUACGGGUGAAAGCAGGGGAUCUUCGGACCUUGCGCGAUUGAAUGAGCCGAUGUCGGAUUAGCUAGUUGGCGGGGUAAAGGCCCACCAAGGCGACGAUCCGUAGCUGGUCUGAGGGGAUGAUCAGCCACACUGGAACUGAGACACGGUCCAGACUCCUACGGGAGGCAGCAGUGGGGAAUAUUGGACAAAGGGCGCAAGCCUGAUCCAGCCAUACCGCGUGGGUGAAGAAGGCCUUCGGGUUGUAAAGCCCUUUUGUUGGGAAAGAAAAGCAGCAGGUUAAUACCCCGCUGUUCUGACGGUACCCAAAGAAUAAGCACCGGCUAACUUCGUG
rnacentral:rRNA from 1 species